CUACGGGCCGCUGCAGUAGGGAAUCUUCGGCAAUGGGGGCAACCCUGACCGAGCAACGCCGCGUGAGUGAAGAAGGUUUUCGGAUCGUAAAGCUCUGUUGUAAGAGAAGAACGAGUGUGAGAGUGGAAAGUUCACACUGUGACGGUAACUUACCAGAAAGGGACGGCUAACUACGUGCCAGCAGCCGCGGUAAUACGUAGGUCCCGAGCGUUAUCCGGAUUUAUUGGGUGUAAAGCGAGCGCAGGCGGUUAGAUAAGUCUGAAGUUAAAGGCUGUGGCUUAACCAUAGUACGCUUUGGAAACUGUUUAACUUGAGUGCAGAAGGGGAGAGUGGAAUUCCAUGUGUAGCGGUGAAAUGCGUAGAUAUAUGGAGGAACACCGGUGGCGAAAGCGGCUCUCUGGUCUGUAACUGACGCUGAGGCUCGAAAGCGUGGGGAGCAAACAGGAUUAGAUACCCUUGUAGUC
rnacentral:rRNA from 1 species